UGUUAGGUUGAUCUUUUUUGUUUUGUCUGUGAAGGAUUUUGAAGUACUUUAUUGCAUUUGAAAGAUAUAUUGAACUUUUGGUUCACCAAGGAAGUCUAUGAUUGGUCGCUAGGUUGAAUAGGUAUAAGGCCCAUUAAGUUUGGAAAAGUAAAAACAAUUUGGACUCAUGUCACAUAAAUUCUUUUUCUCUCUCUAAAUUUAGUGGUUUGAUCUGCAUUUUCCUAUCCGAGUUUUCUUAUGCUAUAGAAAAAAGGCAUCUGGAUGUAUGCUUUCCUUUCUGCCUAAACUCUGUUAAAAUUGGUUAGACCAUAAAUGUUGUAGAGGUGGAAAGAUGAAAUUUGCAUGGUUGCAAGGUUCAUUAAAGUUAUAUCAAUUCAUUACAGGGAAAAUAUUUUUAUGAAAAAUUGAGCCUUGAUUUGUGGAUAGGUGGGACAAAAGAUAACCUAGGCAUGAUGGACAAAAAGAAAAGAAGGAAUGGUACUCCUGUAUGGAGACCAGUUUGUACUCAAGCUUGUUCCCUUGAAGGCUUUCCUAGUGGAGUUCUUUGACUGUGUUCUUUCCUAUCAUUUUGGAAAUUUCUUGUGUAACAGGUAAUUUCUCUAUCAGUAGCUUUAGCCUGCUGUGUCAGUUUAAGUUGUGCCAAAACCAUUAAAAUUCCCACAUCUCACUAUGAGUUUGGUGCCAACUUCAUUGACCCGAAUGUAGGUGGCUUCUCUCAUUAUCUCUACUCUUCCCGUUCACCCUCUUGUCCUCAAUUCUUUUAUCUUAAUAAAUCAAGUUAUAAGUAGGACCAAUUAUGGUCUUCUAGUUGAUGCUUAUUGGGAGGGUGCUAACCGAUGGUAGACUCAAUGCAAGAGUGAAAUGGGAUUUGACAGAAAAUCUUACUGUGAAGGCUAAUGCUCAGGUAAAUCAUGUUUUCAUAUAUCAUUUAGUCUUUUUUCUUUCUUGUUUAGUUACAGAGUAUAUGUUUUUCUUGUGUAAACACAUUGAUAGUUUUUUGUUUCUUGUUCCAUCUCACAAAUGAGCCUAAUAUGUCGCAUGGCAUGUUCAACUUGGAUUACAAGGCCGAUCACUCUUAAACUGUAUUAUAUCUUACCUAAUUGGCUUUCAUCCUUGUAUAUUUCUCUCUGUGUCAUUGCAAGUGUCAUACCUGGCAUUCUGAUUGUUUUUGAGUUUAUUCAUCAUUAUUUUUGUGCUUGUAAACAAAAUUUAUGUGGUGGCUUGGGCUUGCUGCCAUAAAAUAUGAGUCUUUUGUUUUUUUAACUUUUUUUCCCUUGUAAAGGGUAAAGACUUCAGGUCUCGGUUUCAAAUGGGAAAUGGUGCCUUAUUUGGUUCUAGUUACAUCCAGGUGGACAGCGGAAGAAGAAUCUGCACUCAAGGCAGGAGUUCUUAAGCAUGGUACUGGAAAAUGGCGCAAUAUUCGUUCAGAUCCUGAGCUUAGUUCUGUCUUGCGUUCAUGCUCAAAUGUGGAUCUCAAGGUAUGUAGCUGAGCCUCAAGCAUGAUUCACUAAGUAUAGUUGGAACUCUGCACUUGGAAAAUGGAUCUUACAAAAUUGAUUCUUGGGAUGGUAAAGAUAACCUACGGUGCUUGCAAAGUGCAAUUUGAUUAUUGGGUGUACAUAGCGAGAAGUUGGGAAAUAAUUCCAUUGUAUAUUAGGGUUAUAAGUGGGAAGCGUGA